rnacentral:snRNA from 1 species
AUACUUACCUGGCUUGGAGGUUACCUUGAUCAAGAAAGAGGUUCGUCCAGGGUGAGGCCCUUCCAUGCCACUUACCCCUGCGAGUAUUCCAAAUGUGAAUACCUCGGGCGCGUAAUUUUUGGUAGCUGAGAUUGCGUAUGAUCACAUCCCGA